AACGCGAAGAACCUUACCUGGGCUCGAACGGCUGGUCAACGCCGGUGGAAACAUCGGUACCCCGCAAGGGGGUCCAGUCGAGGUGCUGCAUGGCUGUCGUCAGCUCGUGUCGUGAGAUGUUGGGUUAAGUCCCGCAACGAGCGCAACCCUUGUCCUGUGUUGCCAUGCCCGAAAGGGCGGAACUCGCAGGAGACCGCCAGCGAUAAGCUGGAGGAAGGUGGGGAUGACGUCAAGUCCUCAUGGCCUUUAUGUCCAGGGCUACACACGUGCUACAAUGGCCGGUACAAAGCGUCCCGAAGCCGCGAGGUGGAGGCAAUCGCAAAAAACCGGUCUCAGUUCGGAUUGCAGGCUGCAACUCGCCUGCAUGAAGCUGGAAUCGCUAGUAAUGGCAGAUCAGCACGCUGCCGUGAAUACGUUCCCGGGCCUUGUACACACCGGUAUCUC
rnacentral:rRNA from 1 species